AGAGUUUGAUCCUGGCUCAGGAUGAACGCUGGCGGCGUGCUUAACACAUGCAAGUCGAACGGAACUGUUUAGAUGAAGUUUUCGGAUGGAUUUUAAACAGUUUAGUGGCGGACGGGUGAGUAACGCGUGGGUAACCUGCCUCACACUGGGGGAUAACAGUUAGAAAUAGCUGCUAAUACCGCAUAAGCACACAGUUCCGCAUGGGACAGUGUGAAAAACUCCGGUGGUGUGAGAUGGAUCCGCGUCUGAUUAGCUAGUUGGUGAGGUAAAGGCCCACCAAGGCGACGAUCAGUAGCCGACCUGAGAGGGUGAUCGGCCACAUUGGGACUGAGACACGGCCCAAACUCCUACGGGAGGCAGCAGUGGGGAAUAUUGCACAAUGGGGGAAACCCUGAUGCAGCAACGCCGCGUGAGUGAAGAAGUAUUUCGGUAUGUAAAGCUCUAUCAGCAGGGAAGAAAAUGACGGUACCUGACUAAGAAGCCCCGGCUAACUACGUGCCAGCAGCCGCGGUAAUACGUAGGGGGCAAGCGUUAUCCGGAUUUACUGGGUGUAAAGGGAGCGUAGACGGCGAAGCAAGUCUGAAGUGAAAGCCCGGGGCUUAACCCCGGGACUGCUUUGGAAACUGUUUUGCUAGAGUGCUGGAGAGGUAAGUGGAAUUCCUAGUGUAGCGGUGAAAUGCGUAGAUAUUAGGAGGAACACCAGUGGCGAAGGCGGCUUACUGGACAGUAACUGACGUUGAGGCUCGAAAGCGUGGGGAGCAAACAGGAUUAGAUACCCUGGUAGUCCACGCGGUAAACGAU
rnacentral:rRNA from 1 species